rnacentral:rRNA from 1 species
UACGUAGGUCCCGAGCGUUGUCCGGAUUUAUUGGGCGUAAAGCGAGCGCAGGUGGUUUAUUAAGUCUGGUGUAAAAGGCAGUGGCUCAACCAUUGUAUGCAUUGGAAACUGGUAGACUUGAGUGCAGGAGAGGAGAGUGGAAUUCCAUGUGUAGCGAUGAAAUGCGUAGAUAUAUGGAGAAACACCGGUGGCGAAAGCGGCUCUCUGGCCUGUAACUGACACUGAGGCUCGAAAGCGUGGGGAGCAAACAGG